UACAGAGGGGGCGAGCGUUGUUCGGAAUUACUGGGCGUAAAGGGCGCGUAGGCGGCCUUCUAAGUCGAACGUGAAAUCCCCGGGCUCAACCCGGGAACUGCGUCCGAGACUGGAAGGCUUGAAUCCGGGAGAGGGAUGUGGAAUUCCAGGUGUAGCGGUGAAAUGCGUAGAUAUCUGGAGGAACAUCGGUGGCGAAGGCGGCAUCCUGG
rnacentral:rRNA from 1 species